UCAAUUGAACGCUGGCGGCGUGCUUAACACAUGCAAGUCGUGCGAGAAAGGGGACUUCGGUCCCUGAGUAGAGCGGCGCACGGGUGAGUAACGCGUGGAUAAUCUCCCUCAUUGUUUGGGAUAACGGCGGGAAACUGCCGCUAAUACCGGAUACGCUCCAAUUUCGGUUGGGGGAAAGGCGGCCUCUGCUUGCAAGCUGUCGCAAUGAGAUGAGUCCGCGUCCCAUUAGCUUGUUGGUGGGGUAAUGGCCCACCAAGGCAACGAUGGGUAGCUGGUCUGAGAGGAUGAUCAGCCACACUGGAACUGAAACACGGUCCAGACUCCUACGGGAGGCAGCAGUGGGGAAUAUUGCGCAAUGGGGGAAACCCUGACGCAGCGACGCCGUGUGAGGGAAGAAGGCUUUCGGGUCGUAAACCUCUGUCAGGAAGGAAGAACCUCUCAAGGCUGAACAAGCCUUGGACUGACGGACUCC
rnacentral:rRNA from 1 species